AUUGAACGCUGGCGGCAGGCUUAACACAUGCAAGUCGAACGGUAGCACGAAGGAGCUUGCUCCUUGGGUGACGAGUGGCGGACGGGUGAGUAAUGCUUGGGAAUCUGGCUUAUGGAGGGGGAUAACUACGGGAAACUGUAGCUAAUACCGCGUAAUAUCUUCGGAUUAAAGUGUGGGACCGUAAGGCCACAUGCCAUAAGAUGAGCCCAAGUGGGAUUAGGUAGUUGGUGGGGUAAAGGCCUACCAAGCCGACGAUCUCUAGCUGGUCUGAGAGGAUGACCAGCCACACUGGAACUGAGACACGGUCCAGACUCCUACGGGAGGCAGCAGUGGGGAAUAUUGCACAAUGGGGGGAACCCUGAUGCAGCCAUGCCGCGUGAAUGAAGAAGGCCUUCGGGUUGUAAAGUUCUUUCGGUAGCGAGGAAGGUAUCAAAUUUAAUAGAUUUGGUAAUUGACGUUAACUACAGAAGAAGCACCGGCUAACUCCGU
rnacentral:rRNA from 1 species